GAUAAUCAGCAACAAUAAUUCGAAGAAGUACGUGGUCAUGAAAGAUGGAGGUAACUUUUCUAUUACUCGUUUUACCAGGACUCAGGUUCUGAAAUUGUUUUUCUGUUCUCACUUUUACAACUAUUUUGUUUGAUUUGCAUCGAGUAAUAGUUCUGUGCGAUUAAGAAUGCUUUAUGUUUUACAAAAUAUUUUGUUGGUUAUCAAUAUCAUGUUUCUUACGACCAGUCUACCUUAUAUUCUGCCUUGUUACAUAUUUCAACCGAAAAACAUUAGUCUAUCCUUUCCUUCUGUCAUAAAUCGUAUUCAUUAAACUCCACAAAGGAAUUUAUAUGUGCAAGGAAAAAACUAUCAGCAUUUAACCUCGGGUUUCCACGAACGUUUCCGAGAAGUUACAAUUGCUGUCGAUGUUAUCAGAAUGAAACUUGCAGUACACUGCCGACUAUCUUCAUUUUAAUAUGUUCGUUAAAUCAACGAAAUGGUAAUAAAGUUCUACAUUAUGCUGAAUUCAGGGUUUUGGUAGUAAUUUUAAAAAAAAUAUUCAAACUAAUAAAUUUAUGAAAUAAAAACAACUGUAUAUACAUGUGAUAUUCUUGAUAUUUCAGCAGCCACUUUCACAGAAUUUGACUGCAUCUCCACCAACAGAUUUGGCAAAGUUAUCGGAGCAACCUAGGUCAACUUCUCAAGAAAACUCAUGUCAACCAUCUCCACUCCUGUAACCCCAGGCAACUCUGAUGUGGUGAGGCUAUUACCUCACAGUGUGGUUUAUAGAACGAAAUAUGCACCAAUGCUCUCCGAAAAGGGACAAAAAAGAAACUACGUGAUGUACGACCUCCUUGACCAAGUGUUCACUAUUAUUAAACUAGCGAACUUCAUAGGAGACAGGUAUUGGUCAGCCGCGCUCAGGAGAGGAAACAAAGAAUAUCAUAGACAACUGGCAAUACUUGAGAAUGUGCUAUGACGGAAAAUGCUGCCAUGACGCUCCCUAAAGUAGAAUUAAAUCGGGCCACCACUAAAAUGAACACGUAUGCGCGAUAACAGUUGACACAUAAUAGAUUGAUGAAAAAUAGGGAAGUGCUCAUUCUACUGUGAAGUGUUCUAGUGACUGGAAUUAUAUUUUAUACCCAAUAUGAUUAUAUAGUGUAACUUUUAUUAUACUUGGUAUUUAUAUUUGAAAUGUAGAAUAAAUUGAGCAAGCUUUAGUAUGGUUAUUCACAUUGUCUUUUUAAUUCCAUUUUUUGAAUAUUUUUUCGCGUAUAAAUCAUUGCGCACAUAAAAUUAAAAUCAAUUUAACUGCAUGUGACAUCUGUAUGAAAAUCCGCACGUAAACUAAACGUCCGCCCGUAACUAAAUUUCCGUCUUCUUCUGAAAUUCCGCCCGUAAUCUGAAAUUCCGCCCGUAACUAAAAUUCAAGCUUAAUAUAAAAAUCCGCCCGUAGCCUAAAAUUCCGCCCGGAAUUUGAAUUCCGUCCCACCUUAUUUAUAUAUUUCGCCCCAAGAACCCGGCCGGGGCCGGGUUCCGCCUCAAACACUAAAAGUUUUAUUAUUCAAAGUACGCCUGGAAAAAUUUCGUACGGGCAGGCCUGUUGUCGUCGUCAAUGUUGUUCAAAACGUUAAACGUUAACUAUUGCUCAAUAAAGAUAUAAUAUACUUUAUAUCACAAUUGGCCAUCAUUUUCACUUUUACAAUACGCAAGUAUUUAAGUCCCAUAGCUCUUCCCAGAAAUGUUUCUCAAAACAUUCCCCUAGUAUAUAAUAGCUUUGGCAACCUUUGGCGCUGCUCUCGUGAUAAAAUACAAUGUUAUUUCAUUGUUUAUACAUUA